CUCAUUCAGACACUCCGAGCCGGACCGCCUAAACCGGCGGGCAUGGCGGCCGGCCGCCAGGGUGUAGCUGGAAACGGCUGCGCCUCCCGUUUGGAAAGGAGUGAAGAACAAUGCAGC
rnacentral:ncRNA from 2 species